AUUGAGCUAGGUGGGCAGAAAAGAGCAGUGAGUGUUUUGGGUUUUUUCACUUUCAGGCUUAACGCCUCACUGCUAGCACAAGCCGCCCUUAAUAAAUCACACUUAAAAAGGAGCUUCCGGGGUCGGGCGCGGUGGCUCACGCCUGUAAUCCCAGCAAUUUGGGAGGCCGAGGCGGGCGGAUCAUGAGGUCAGGAGAUCGAGACCAUCCUGGCUUACACGGUGUCGUUAUUUGUGCAACAACAUUGAAAAACAAGCAGAAAUAAAACAUUGACGGAACGGAUACGACCGCAGAUUGCGGGAGCUGUCCUCUCAAUCAGCCCGGCAGCGGCGGCCCACAAUUUACGCGUGUGCAACCCUAACCCCGGCCCAAGCUUGACCUACAAUUUGCGCAGGCGCAGAUCCUAACUUUGGCGUCCCUGUGGGCGGCCUUUGGUGUGAGACGCGUGGUAUUCUGGGAACGUCGGAGACGGAAGUUACUUCGUCUUUAGCUCCUGGCGCUGCUGGCUUCUGGGCGGUUUUUGUCUUUUGAUUUCAAGAGUUA
rnacentral:lncRNA from 10 species